rnacentral:rRNA from 1 species
UUUUAUUUUAUCUUUAAAAAAUAGUAGAAAAGUAUUUAUUAUAAAAAAAAAUUCAAUAAAUUUGGUAGUAUUUUUACUUUUUAGAGGAACUUGUUUAAUAAUAGAUGAUCCACAAUUAAUUUUACUUAAUUUAAUAAAUUUGUAUAUCAUUGUCAAAAAAUUAUUUUUAAAAAAUAUUUAUAAAAAAAAAUAUUUAUUUAAAUGUCAAAUCAAGGUGCAGUAAAUAAUUAAGAUUAAAAUGAGUUACAAUAUAUAGUAUAUUUGGAUAAAAAUUUUAAAUAAUUUUUUAAAAUUGGAUUUAAUAGUAAUUUUUUUUAAAUAAAAAAAAUAAAUAAAAACAAAAAUAUAUACAUAUCGCCCGUCACUUUCAAGAAAUGGAAUAA